CCCUUAGAUGUUCUGGGCCGCACGCGCGCUACACUGAUGCAUUCAACAAGUCUUAACCUUGGCCGAUAGGUCUGGGUAAUCUUUGAACGCUGUUCGUGAUUGGGAUAGACCUUUGCAAUUAUGGGUCUUCAACGAGGAAUUCCUAGUAAACGCAAGUCAUCAGCUUGCAUUGAUUACGUCCCUGCCCUUUGUACACACCGCCCGUCGCACCUACCGAUUGAAUGGUCCGGUGAAAUCUCGGGACGGCGGCUUGGUCGCUUGCGUCCGACUGCUGAAACUUGAUUAAACCAUAUCAUUUAGAGGAAGGUGAANUCGUANCA
rnacentral:rRNA from 1 species